GGGCGGUGGCGGGGGUGAUGCAGCGGCCGCUGAGGGUGGCGCAGGGGCCCCGGCCAGCCCGGGGCUGCAGCAGUGCGGACAGCUCCAGAAGCUCAUCGGCAUCUCCAUUGGCAGCCUGCGCGGGCUGGGCACCAAGUGCGCUGUGUCCAACGACCUCACCGAGCAGGAGAUACGGACCCUGGAGCAUUGUCCCAAUUCCUUCUUCUAAUGAAGAAAUACGCUUAGUUGAUGAUGCGUUUGGAAAAAUUUGUCACAUGGUCAGUGAUGGCUCUUGGGUGGUUCAUGUUCAGGCAGCAAAACUGUUGGGCUCUAUGGAGCAAGUCAGUUCUCAUUUCUUGGAGCAGACCCUUGACAAGAAGCUGAUGUCAGAUCUGAGGAGGAAACGUACUGCACAUGAGCGUGCCAAGGAACUUUACAGUUCAGGGGAGUUUUCCAGUGGCAGAAAGUGGGAAGAUGAUGCUCCCAAGGAAGAAGUAGAUACCGGGGCUGUGAACUUGAUUGAGUCAGGAGCUUGUGGAGCUUUUGUUCAUGGGUUGGAAGAUGAGAUGUAUGAGGUUCGUAUUGCUGCUGUGGAGGCCCUCUGCAUGUUGGCCCAGUCUUCACCCUCUUUUGCUGAGAAGUGCCUUGAUUUCCUAGUUGACAUGUUCAACGAUGAAAUUGAGGAAGUACGUCUGCAGUCCAUACAUACCAUGAGAAAAAUCUCUAACAACAUCACCCUCCGAGAAGAUCAGCUUGACACUGUCCUGGCUGUGCUAGAGGAUUCAGCCAGAGAUAUUCGAGAGGCUCUUCAUGAACUCUUAUGCUGUACUAAUGUUUCAACCAAAGAAGGGAUUCAUCUUGCAUUGGUGGAGCUGCUGAAAAAUUUAACCAAGUACCCUACUGAUAGGGACUCCAUAUGGAAGUGCUUGAAGUUUCUGGGAAGUCGGCAUCCAACCCUGGUGCUUCCCUUGGUGCCAGAGCUUCUGAGCACCCACCCAUUUUUUGACACAGCUGAACCAGACAUGGAUGAUCCAGCUUAUAUUGCAGUUUUGGUACUUAUUUUCAAUGCUGCUAAAACCUGUCCAACAAUGCGAGCAUUGUUCUCAGAUCACACCGUCAGGCACUAUGCCUACCUCCGAGACAGUCUUUCUCAUCUUGUUCCUGCCUUGAGGUUACCAGGUAGAAAACUGGUGUCAUCAGCUGUUUCUCCCAGCAUCAUACCUCAAGAGGAUCCUUCGCAGCAGUUCCUGCAGCAGAGCCUUGAAAGAGUGUAUAGUCUUCAGCACUUGGACCCUCAGGGAGCCCAGGAGCUGCUGGAAUUCACCAUCAGGCCUUGCAGGAAAAGUCGUGGAAUGUAGCUGCCCCUUCGUAUUUGAAGCAGAGUGAUUUGGCCUCAGCAGCAGCAAAACAGACUUUACCCCUUAU
rnacentral:lncRNA from 1 species